UAAUACGGAGGGGACAAGCGUUAUUCGGAAUCACUGGGCGUAAAGGACGCGUAGGCGGGUUAUUAAGUCGGGUGUGAAAUCCAAUGGCUCAACCAUUGAACUGCAUUCGAAACUGAUAACCUAGAGUAUGGAAGGGGCAGGUGGAGUUAGUGGUGUAGGGGUAAAAUCCGUAGAUAUCACUAGGAAUACCGAAAGCGAAGGCGACCUGCUGGGACAUUACUGACGCUGAGGCGUGAAAGCGUGGGGAGCAAACAGGAUUAGAUACCCUGGUAGUCCACGCCCUAAACGAUGAAUGCUAGUCGUCGGGGAGCUCGUCUCUUCGGUGAUGCACUUAACAGAUUAAGCAUUCCGCCUGGGGAGUACGGUCGCAAGAUUA
rnacentral:rRNA from 1 species